AUUAUACUCCCUCCGACCGAAAAUACUUGUCUUAGAAAUGAUUGUAUCUAGACUUAUUUUAGUUAUAGAUACAUCCAUUUUAUCCAUUUCUAGGACAAGUAUUUCCGAACGGAGGGAGUAUAUU
rfam:Triticum urartu cultivar G1812 contig427463, whole genome shotgun sequence.